CCCAUAGCUGCCCCAUAAGUGCCCCAUGGCUGCCCCAUAACUGCCCCAUAAGUGCCCCAUGGCUGCCCCAUAACUGCCCCAUAGCUGCCCCAUAACUGCCCCAUGGCUGCUUCAUAACUGCCCCAUAAGUGCCCCAUAGCUGCCCCAUAACUGCCCCAUAGCUGCCCCAUAAGUGCCUCAUGGCUGCUUCAUAAGUGCCCCAUAGCUGCCCCAUAAGUGCCCCCAUGGC